rnacentral:ncRNA from 1 species
CAAGUUUUGUGUGGCGAAUUGUAGUCUAUAGAAGCGAUGUCAGCAUAGCUGCUCCAGUUAAGUUCCUUGGAAAAGGACAGCAUGGAGGGUUACACUCCCGUCUUUGCUGGAGCAUGUUGUGUGUACGACACGUUUUCUUUGAGUCGCGUUGUUUGGGAAUGCAGCGCAAAG